UACGGAGGGUGCAAGCGUUAUCCGGAAUUACUGGGUUUAAAGGGUGCGUAGGCGGCUUAGUAAGUCAGGGGUGAAAGGUCACGGCUCAACCGCGGAAUUGCCUUUGAUACUGUUGAGCUUGAAUCAGGAUGAGGUUGGCAGAAUGUGGCAUGUAGCGGUGAAAUGCAUAGAUAUGCCAUAGAACACCGAUUGCGAAGGCAGCUGGCUAGACCUUGAUUGACGCUGAGGCACGAAAGCGUGGGGAGCGAACAGG
rnacentral:rRNA from 1 species